ensembl:lncRNA
AUUCAACUUCAUCAUUUUGCACAUACGUGUCUUGUUGUUGAAAAGAUUAUUUUUCCUCUCCUGAGUUAUGCUGCCAUCUUUGUUGAAAAUCAGUUAGUUUGUUUGUUUGUUUUGAGACAGGGUCUUGCUUUGUAGUUCCGGUGGCUUCAAACUCAUUAUAUAGCCCAGGAUGGCCUUGAAGUCCAGCGAUCCUCCUGAUUCAGCCUCCCAAGUGCUGGGAUUACAGGUUUCCAAGUAGCUGGAGUUGUAACCAUGGAGCAGCGCACACAGCUAGUAAUAGGUGUCAGAUAUUAUGUCCCAGCAAUGAGAAAGUAACUAAGGCAGGUACAGUGAGCAGCUCUUCGCAGUCCUGAAGUCCAUGUUCCCAGGCACCAGCCACAGGUCAAGCUCAGAAGUGGGUAUUUGGAGGACAGCAGUCUCAAGCUUGCCAUGAUGCCAUGCUGUUAGCAGCCCUCCUCUACCGGGCCACUCUGCCAUGGACUGAAACCAAAAUAAACCUCUUUUCCUUU